rnacentral:rRNA from 1 species
GUGGGGAAUCUUCCGCAAUGGACGAAAGUCUGACGGAGCGACGCCGCGUGAGUGAAGAAGGCCUUCGGGUCGUAAAGCUCUGUCAUCAGGGACGAACGGCCGGUGGAGUGGAAAGCCACCGGAUUGACGGUACCUGAGAAGGAAGCCACGGCUAACUACGUGCCAGCAGCCGCGGUAAUACGUAGGUGGCAAGCGUUGUCCGGAAUUAUUGGGCGUAAACCGCGCGCAGGUGGGAUCUUAAGUCCAUUUUUAAAGUUCGGAGCUCAACUCAGUGAUGGGAUGGAAACUGGGAUUCUUGAGUACCGGAGAGGAAAGCGGAAUUCCCCGUGUAGCGGUGAAAUGCGUAGAUAUGGGGAGGAACACCAGUGGCGAAGGCGGCUUACUGGACUGUAACUGACGUUGAGGCUCGAAAGCGUGGGGAGCAAACAGGAUUAGAAACCCUUGUAGUCC